AGCACUGGAGAGUUGAUGAGAAAGUGGGCAGAUCGGCUCUAUUCACAGCUGGGGGAAACUGACCACUUUAACAAAAGGAAGAAUGCUCAGGUAACAUCUAGCCCAAAGGUCGCUCAGGAAUGUUCAAAGCACUCAGGAGAGAGUGAAGUAUCCCAUCUUUGGGACACACAAGUCCCACUCAGCAUCCAUUGAAAGCGAAGCACCAAAAGCAUUGAGAUGGUGGCAGGACCUCAUUUUCCCUCUUCUCUAUUCCCUUACUCUUUCUCCAGCACAGAAGAAGCCUUGUAGAGUCGGAGCUUCACCAUGUUCGUCAGGACGGUCUCAAACUCCUGAACUUGUGAUCCGCCCGCCUCGGCCUCUCAAAGUGCUGGGAUUACAGGAGUGAGCCACCGCGCCGGCCCAAGUUCACUAAUUUUCAACGUUUGAACAUUAAAAACAAAGCGUGGGACAUAAGCCUGACUGUAGGUUGCAAUAGAUGGUAUCCUGCACUAUUGGCAACCUCCCCUCCUGCCUGCUAUAUUCCUGCCUUUCAGAGCCUCCAACUGCAUCUUCAGUCUUUAGAGCCCCCUCCAGAAUCCCGGUCUGCACACUUCUCCUUAAAUUCCUCCUCCUGUUCCUGGCAUGCUCUGUCAUUCCAAGUCCUACAGCCUGUUCCCCCUUGUCGCAUGAACAGACACACUCUGAAGGCAGAGAGAUCUCUUCCACUGGGAGAUCUCCGGAGGAGGGUCUUAUAGAAAGUGGUGCUCAAUAAAUGCUUCAAGGAAGAAUGGCACUUCUAACAUAAUUGCCGUUUUCGUAGCAUAGCAGGAUGGAAGAAAAGACUAGUGUACCGAUAUUUGGCUCAUUCUUUUUCAUCUGGCAAGUGCUGGAUCAGGAGUCAGCAGAUCUGGCGUUAAUUCUCACCUAUGUCCUUUUCUACCCAGAGCUUCUCUAAGCUUCAGCUUCCAUGACUUUAAAAGGUAAUCAGCACCUAUCUUACAACACUAUUAAGGAGGGUUACUACAUUAGAUAAUGUAGCUAAAUUCAUCAACACAGUGCUAGACAUACCAUAAUUCUCAAUAAAUGUAUUUUGAAUUUGAAUAA